rnacentral:rRNA from 1 species
CUAAGAAUAUUCCGCAAUGGACGAAAGUCUGACGGAGCGACGCCGCGUGGAUGAAGAAGGCCGGAAGGUUGUAAAGUUCUUUUAAGCAUGAAGAAGGAUUAUUGCAGGAAAUGGCAGUAAAGUGACGGUAGUGCUUGAAUAAGAGGCGGCUAAUUACGUGCCAGCAGCCGCGGUAACACGUAAGCCUCGAGCGUUGUUCGGAAUUAUUGGGCGUAAAGGGCAUGUAGGCGGUAUUGCAAGCCUGGUGUGAAAGGCAGGGGCUCAACCUCUGGACUGCGCUGGGAACUGCGAUACUAGAGUCGCUGAGGGGCAAUCAGAAUUCCAGGUGUAGGGGUGAAAUCUGUA